UUCAUUAGAGCAGAAGCCAGGAAACCAUGGAAUUUUAAAUUGGCAGCCUUUAGAGCAUUAUUGAAUAGAGCCUUUACACAUUGUAUUUUGAUAGAAGAUAGACAGCAAGAGAUAGACUCCAAAAAAUCAUCUUUAACAGAAAAAAUACACUGUUCAACCGUAUCAGGAAUGACAAGGAUAAGAUUAACAACACACAUUUCCCUGGAGUAUAUCAGGUACCUUUCUAAGAUAACGACACGAAUACUAGCGCAAACUAUAUUGAUUAUACAGGCACAUUUGAAUUAUAUUGAUUAUACAGCAUGUUCUCUAAAAAGGCAGAUCCAGGAAUAUAAAAAAGAUGUAGAGAAUAAAGCUACUACUACGGCUUUAGUGCAAUGUGCACUUACAUCUGACUUAGAGGUUGAUUGGACUAACCGUAAAUUGUUGCAUAGAGAACAAGACCCUAAGAGAGGGAGAAUCAUG
rnacentral:lncRNA from 1 species